AGAGUUUGAUCCUGGCUCAGAUUGAACGCUGGCGGCAUGCUUUACACAUGCAAGUCGAACGGCAGCGGGGGCUUCGGCCUGCCGGCGAGUGGCGAACGGGUGAGUAAUGCAUCGGAACGUGCCCAGUCAUGGGGGAUAACUACGCGAAAGCGUAGCUAAUACCGCAUACGCCCUGAGGGGGAAUGCGGGGGAUCGCAAGACCUCGCGUGAUUGGAGCGGCCGAUGUCGGAUUAGCUAGUUGGUGGGGUAAAGGCCUACCAAGGCGACGAUCCGUAGCGGGUCUGAGAGGAUGAUCCGCCACACUGGGACUGAGACACGGCCCAGACUCCUACGGGAGGCAGCAGUGGGGAAUUUUGGACAAUGGGGGCAACCCU
rnacentral:rRNA from 1 species